rnacentral:lncRNA from 1 species
UCGCGGGUCUCAAAUGUCUACUUCCUGUGCUCCUUCACCAAGGGGCUGAUGCCACUCCAGGUGCUUAAGUGUCCUUCAGGCCGAGUGUCUGUACAUCUUGGCACAGAAAAGACCUUUAAGUGGUCAGACCUCUGCCCAGAGUUCCAGCCACCCCUUAGUUUCCGCAUACGCCUUUAAUCCAGCUCCAUGGCACUCCCCUUGCUUGGUGUGUUUAAGUGUAAGCGUGCCUGUUACUUAGGAGAGGCUGUCUGACAGCUAAGGAUCUCUACUGCAAGAGCUGGGAGUCUCAGACAAAGAGAGAAAAAUAAUAGAAACUGCAGGUAGGAAGAUACAGGGUGGGGACAUAAAAACAGAACCCUCAGAGUUUGUCACCAUCAUACAAGGCAGCCAAGGAGAUGAUGUCCUUGUACAGUGUUUCUCCAAAAGCAGAAACAAGAAUAACUGGUGUUUACUUAGAGCUCUAGAGUUUACAAAACAAUUUC